rnacentral:misc_RNA from 1 species
UUGAUUGUGAACUGUUGCCUUCUGUGCUGGCUUUAGCAUGUGCACGUUGGUGACUUUCAUCCAUACACUUGUGAACCUUUGGCCUCUUGCUUGCUUUGGCUUGCAGAGGAUUUUAUACACACUCUUAAAUGUAAUGAAAAACUGUUGAGUGCACUAGCACUAUUAUA